rnacentral:rRNA from 1 species
AUUGAACGCUGGCGGCAGGCUUAACACAUGCAAGUCGAACGAGUGGCGGACGGGUGAGUAAUGCUUGGGGAUCUAGCUUAUGGAGGGGGAUAACUACGGGAAACUGUAGCUAAUACCGCAUACCAUAGGAUGAACCCAAGUGGGAUUAGGUAGUUGGUGAGGUAAAGGCUCACCAAGCCGACGAUCUCUAGCUGGUCUGAGAGGAUGACCAGCCACACUGGGACUGAGAGACGGCCCAGCCUCCUACGGGAGGCAGCAGUGGGGAAUAUUGCGCAAUGGGGGCAACCUGACGCAGCCAUGCCGCGUGAAUGAAGAAGGCCUUCGGGUUGUAAAGUACUUUCGGUAGGGAGGCGUUAACUACAGAAGAAGCACCGGCUAACUCCGUGCCAGCAGCCGCGGUAAUAC